rnacentral:rRNA from 1 species
AGAAUCAACGCUGGCGGCGUGCCUAACACAUGCAAGUCGAACGAGAAAGUGGAGCAAUCCAUGAGUAAAGUGGCGCACGGGUGAGUAACACGUGACUAACCUACCCUCGAGUGGGGAAUAAACUUCGGGAAACCGAGGCUAAUACCGCAUAAAACCUAAGGGUCAAAGGAGCAAUCCGUUUGAGGAGGGGGUCGCGGCAGAUUAGUUAGUUGGCGGGGUAAUGGCCCACCAAGACGAUGAUCUGUAUCCGGCCUGAGAGGGCGCACGGACACACUGGAACUGAAACACGGUCCAGACUCCUACGGGAGGCAGCAGUGGGGAAUUUUGCGCAAUGGGGGGAAACCCUGACGCAGCAACGCCGCGUGGAGGAUGAAAUCCCUUGGGAUGUAAAACUCCUUUCGAUCGGGAAGAUAAUGACGGUACCGGAAGAAGAAAGCCCCGGCUAAACUUCGCGCCAGCAGCCGC